rnacentral:misc_RNA from 1 species
GAAAUGCGAUAACUAAUGUGAAUUGCAGAAUUCCGUGAAUCAUCGAGUCUUUGAACGCACAUUGCGCCCCCUGGUAUUCCGGGGGGCAUGCCUGUUCGAGCGUCAUUACAACCCUCAAGCCCGGCUUGCGUGAUGGGUGGCCGUCUUUCUCUGGUUAGCGCCAGGUGGGAGACGCCCCCGAAACAUAGUGGGGACGUCGCGAUACCGAAGCCUCAGCGAAUGGGAAUCUUCCAGAGCUGCAUGGUAGCGGCCGGCGUCGACCAUAGCCCAGUCUUCGGACUAUUUUUCUGGUUGACCUCGGAUCAGGUAGGGAUACCCGCUGAACUUAA